AUUGAACGCUUGCGGCAGGCUUAACACAUGCAAGUCGAGCGGAAACGAUGGUAGCUUGCUACCAGGCGUCGAGCGGCGGACGGGUGAGUAAUACUUAGGAAUCUACCUAGUAGUGGGGGAUAGCACGGGGAAACUCGUAUUAAUACCGCAUACGACCUACGGGAGAAAGGGGGCAGUUUACUGCUCUCGCUAUUAGAUGAGCCUAAGUCGGAUUAGCUAGAUGGUGGGGUAAAGGCCUACCAUGGCGACGAUCUGUAGCUGGUCUGAGAGGAUGAUCAGCCACACCGGGACUGAGACACGGCCCGGACUCCUACGGGAGGCAGCAGUGGGGAAUAUUGGACAAUGGGGGAAACCCUGAUCCAGCCAUGCCGCGUGUGUGAAGAAGGCCUUUUGGUUGUAAAGCACUUUAAGCAGUGAAGAAGACUCUGUGGUUAAUACCCAUAGACGAUGACAUUAGCUGCAGAAUAAGCACCGGCUAACUCUGUGCCAGCAGCCGCGGUAAUACAGAGGGUGCAAGCGUUAAUCGGAAUUACUGGGCGUAAAGGGAGCGUAGGUGGCUCGAUAAGUCAGAUGUGAAAUCCCCGGGCUCAACCUGGGAACUGCAUCUGAUACUGUUGAGCUAGAGUAUGUGAGAGGAAGGUAGAAUUCCAGGUGUAGCGGUGAAAUGCGUAGAGAUCUGGAGGAAUACCGAUGGCGAAGGCAGCCUUCUGGCAUAAUACUGACACUGAGGCUCGAAAGCGUGGGUAGCAAACAGGAUUAGAUACCCUGGUAGUCCACGCCGUAAACGAUGUCUACUAGUCGUUGGGUCCCUUGAGGACUUAGUGACGCAGCUAACGCAAUAAGUAGACCGCCUGGGGAGUACGGCCGCAAGGUUAAAACUCAAAUGAAUUGACGGGGGCCCGCACAAGCGGUGGAGCAUGUGGUUUAAUUCGAUGCAACGCGAAGAACCUUACCUGGUCUUGACAUAUCUAGAAUCCUGCAGAGAUGCGGGAGUGCCUUCGGGAAUUAGAAUACAGGUGCUGCAUGGCUGUCGUCAGCUCGUGUCGUGAGAUGUUGGGUUAAGUCCCGCAACGAGCGCAACCCUUGUCCUUAGUUACCAGCGGGUUAAGCCGGGAACUCUAAGGAUACUGCCAGUGACAAACUGGAGGAAGGCGGGGACGACGUCAAGUCAUCAUGGCCCUUACGACCAGGGCUACACACGUGCUACAAUGGUAGGUACAGAGGGCAGCUACACAGCGAUGUGAUGCGAAUCUCAAAAAGCCUAUCGUAGUCCAGAUUGGAGUCUGCAACUCGACUCCAUGAAGUAGGAAUCGCUAGUAAUCGCGGAUCAGAAUGCCGCGGUGAAUACGUUCCCGGGCCU
rnacentral:rRNA from 1 species